rnacentral:rRNA from 1 species
CCCUACGGGGGGCAGCAGUGAGGAAUAUUGGUCAAUGGCCGAGAGGCUGAACCAGCCAAGUCGCGUGAGGGAAGAAUGUCCUAUGGAUUGUAAACCUCUUUUGUCAGGGAGCAAAGUCACCCACGUGUGGGUGUUGGAGAGUACCUGAAGAAAAAGCAUCGGCUAACUCCGUGCCAGCAGCCGCGGUAAUACGGAGGAUGCGAGCGUUAUCCGGAUUUAUUGGGUUUAAAGGGUGCGUAGGCGGAAGGUUAAGUCAGCGGUCAAAUGUCGGUGCUCAACACCGGCCUGCCGUUGAAACUGGUCUU